rnacentral:rRNA from 1 species
GAUGAACGCUGGCGGCGUGCCUAAUACAUGCAAGUCGAGCGAACAGAUAAGGAGCUUGCUCCUUUGACGUUAGCGGCGGACGGGUGAGUAACACGUGGGUAACCUACCUAUAAGACUGGAAUAACUCCGGGAAACCGGGGCUAAUGCCGGAUAACAUUUAGAACCGCAUGGUUCUAAAGUGAAAGAUGGUUUUGCUAUCACUUAUAGAUGGACCCGCGCCGUAUUAGCUAGUUGGUAAGGUAACGGCUUACCAAGGCAACGAUACGUAGCCGACCUGAGAGGGUGAUCGGCCACACUGGAACUGAGACACGGUCCAGGCUCCUACGGAAGGCAGCAGUAGGGAAUCUUCCGCAAUGGGCGAAAGCCUGACGGAGCAACGCCGCGUGAGUGAUGAAGGUCUUCGGAUCGUAAAACUCUGUUAUUAGGGAAGAACAAAUGUGUAAGUAACUGUGCACGUCUUGACGGUACCUAAUCAGAAAGCCACGGCUAACUACGUG